UACGUAGGUGGCAAGCGUUGUCCGGAUUUACUGGACGUAAAGAGCGCGCAGGCGGUCGGCCAAGUCGAGUGUGAAAGCCCCCGGCUCAACUGGGGAGGGUCAUUCGAUACUGGUCGACUCGAAGGCAGGAGAGGGAAGCGGAAUUCCCGGUGUAGUGGUGAAAUGCGUAGAUAUCGGGAGGAACACCAGUGGCGAAGGCGGCUUCCUGGCCUGUUCUUGACGCAUG
rnacentral:rRNA from 1 species